CCUACGGGAGGCAGCAGUGAGGAAUAUUGCUCAAUGGACGAGAGUCUGAACCAGCCCAGUAGCGUGAAGGAUGACUGCCCUAUGGGUUGUAAACUUCUUUUAUAUGGGAAUAAAACGUUCCACGUGGUGGAUUUUGUAUGUACCAUAUGAAUAAGGCUCGGCUAAAUCCGUGACAGCAGCCGCGGUAAUGCGGAGGAUACGAGCGGUAUCCGGAUUUAUUGGGUUUAAAGCGAGCGUAGGUGGUGUGUUAAGUCAGUUGUGAAAGUUUGCGGCUCAACCGUAAAAUUGCAGUUGAAACUGGCAGACUUGAGUACAGUAGAGGUGAGCGGAAUUCGUGGUGUAGCAGUGAAAUGCUUAGAUAUCACGAAGAACUCCGAUUGCGAAGGCAGUUCACUGGACUGCAACUGACACUGAGGCUCGAAAGUGUGGGUAUCAAACAGGAUUAGAUACCCCAGUAGUC
rnacentral:rRNA from 1 species